rnacentral:rRNA from 1 species
ACGAACGCUGGCGGCGUGCCUAAUACAUGCAAGUUGAGCGCUGAAGGUUGGUACUUGUACCAACUGGAUGAGCAGCGAACGGGUGAGUAACGCGUGGGGAAUCUGCCUUUGAGCGGGGGACAACAUUUGGAAACGAAUGCUAAUACCGCAUAAAAACUUUAAACACAAGUUUUAAGUUUGAAAGAUGCAAUUGCAUCACUCAAAGAUGAUCCCGCGUUGUAUUAGCUAGUUGGUGAGGUAAAGGCUCACCAAGGCGAUGAUACAUAGCCGACCUGAGAGGGUGAUCGGCCACAUUGGGACUGAGACACGGCCUAAACUCCUACGGGAGGCAGCAGUAGGGAAUCUUCGGCAAUGGACGGAAGUCUGACCGAGCAACGCCGCGUGAGUGAAGAAGGUUUUCGGAUCGUAAAACUCUGUUGGUAGAGAAGAACGUUGGUGAGAGUGGAAAGCUCAUCAAGUGACGGUAACUACCCAGAAAGGGACGGCUAACUACGUG